UUAAGGCAAGAAAAGAGUUCAUUUAGAAUUCGUCCCUCAAGAGUUUAAAAAAGAGUUUAAAAAAGAGCGAUUCCAAGAAUUUGACUUACAGUCCACUAUUCAAGUACUAAAAAUAUCCAGAUAAUGGUCAAACAUCCAAAUAAUCAACUAUUCGAAUCAUUCGCCGAAUAUUUGACAAAAAUUCGACAAAUAGUCCUAGCCCUAGUUUAUAGUUUAUUGUUAGUAUCCGAGAAACACGUUGUGCAUGGAUACUUGGUUAGACGUGAGCUAAUACUCGAGAGCAUGAAAUUUUGUCCUUGAGGUUAUCACGUAGUUAUUUCCACCACUUACUGCAAUUCGUACAAAUUUUAUUGAUCAUUCAUGUCGCCUAUGUGAAUUAUUACGUUUACACGUAAAUAGUGAUGAUAAUGCUAAUCGUUACAAUCGAAGCAAAAGAAAUGAUACAAAACGCGAUAAUGGUAUUACUAGUAGUAAAUGUAUACGUUUUGGUGACAAUUAUCCAAGUAAUAGUAAUUAGUUUACAGUUUCGUUAUAAAAUACUCUGUUUUCCAAAGAAUAUUAUUUCUAAUUUUUUACUGUAAUAUGUAGUAAAUGCUAAAAUUGCAUACUUUAUGCAUAUUUCCACAUUAAUUUAUUUAUUAUAAUCGUAAUGGUAUAAAACCCAAGUAUUGCUGUUAUCUGGAUAACUAUCACUACAUUACUCGUAUAUCUGGGUAUACUAAGAGCUCUCGAGUAUUAACACACCUCUAUGCGUUAUGUUUAACCGUUCGAUCGUGGAUGAGCAGCCCUUAUUUGCUAAAUACUUUCUAACUCGUUCAAUACUCUUAUCCGGUGGAUUAUAAUGCUACUUUUUGAAAAAGCAUUCGAUUCUAGAUACAUAUACAAAUUCUCAAUAAAAUCCAUAUAUAAAAUGAUCGCGUAUUUCACAUUUUAUUCUGUCUUAAUUUUGGCGCUGCUCAACAAAACGACGACUGCAGUCAAACGGUUAAGCCAGUGAUUCUUAACCUCCGUGCCGUGAAGUUGGCAAUACUGUGCCGUGAAUGUUUGCCAAAAGAUCAAAUAAAUUCUUAUUUUUUACAAUUUUCUUUUUUUUUUUAAUUUUUCUUAUAAUCAUUUACGAUUAAAAACUGUACCAGGAUCAUUCCUUUGUAAACUGUGCCAUGAGCGUGAAAUUAUUAUUUUCCUCUAAAGCAACGAUGGCAAACGGAGAGUCAUUUUCCGUGCCAAAAUUAGGAAAAUCAGGCAACGUUCUCAUAACGCCGUGCCAAUAUACUAUUUUAAUAAAUUAGUUACCCGAAUGAAACAUAAAAUAUUCACAUUUGCGAUUUCAGUUUUCGUGUCUAUCAUCUGCACCAUAUAAAUGCGUAAAACGCUUAACUAUUACACGUAAACUUUCUUAUGGGUAUUAAUCGCUUACUUGAUUCUUUCAUCAAAAUUUUUGUUGAUAUCCGUUUAUAUGAAAAAUACGUUGCGAAUUGAAAAUACGACGGUCACCUUUUCAUUUACUGCAAAAUACAGUCGUGAAAGUGUCUAGUCUAAACCAAAUAAAGAUAUAAAUUUAAUAAAGUGCAAAUUUACUAUGAAAGUUCUGGAGUACCAGUAAAAUUCUAUCGCUUAUCAAAAUUCGUCUUUCGUUUGCCAUUACUGUUUUCAACUGUGCCGUAUGCUUGAGAAGGUUAAGAAACACUGGGUGCAAACGAAGGUAAACAAAGCACGAGUGUCUCGCGAGAUGUCCUUGCGAAAGUCACUGGCCAAGCUUGUAUAUACGAUAGUUAACGCGUAAGGGAAUCGAUCAAGAUGUAUAUAUACAGUGGGUGUAGAAAGUGUUCGUACACCGAUCAAUUUCCAAAAAAACCUGUGUAAAAUUGUAACCUAUUAACUUAUUUUUUAUAAACAAUGACAUUCUACAUGUUCUAGGAAAUUUCUAGAAUAGAUAGAUUACAAAAAAAAAAAUAGCUAUUUAUGUAAGUUGCGAAAUUAAGAAGAAAAAAAUAAUUAAUCGAUAGAAAUGUUGAAGCAAUAAGUAUUCGCACAACUGUUAAAAGUAUUUCCCUGGAAAUUUGAUGUUUUCUAAUCAUGGUUUGAAUAAUAAUCAAUUACAAUUUUUAAUUAAAUAAUUGAUUUAAACAAAUUUAAUUAAAUCAACUUAAUAAAUAUUUUGAAUAAAUGUAAUUACAAAUUAUUUAAUUAAAAUUGAAUUAAGCAGAGUUAAUCGAAAGUCGUUUAAUUGGCGAUUGAUAUGAGCGAAUUUAAUCGAAGAUAUUUAAUUGACGAUUGAUAUGAGCAGAAUUAAUUAAAAGCCAUUUUCUUGACGAUUACUUUAAACAGAAUUAAUUGAAAUCCAUUCAAUUGACGAUUAAUUUAAGCAGAAUUAAUUCAAAGGCAUUUAAUUCACGAUUACUUUAAGCAGAAUGAAUUCAAGCUAUUUAAUUGACGAUUUGUUUAUAUCUUCAAUGUUAAGAGAGAUUUAUAUAAAAUUCAAUUAAUUAUAUAAGUAACACAUAUAAAUAAACAUAUAUAUAUAUAAACCAAUUUGUAGCGACAAAUGCAAUAUAUUAAAUACUAUUAACCUCAUCAAAAUGAGUUGCUUGUAUAUAGAAUAAUGUAUUUGUUAAAGUAAUAUACUAAAAACAUAAAGCAGUUCAGCUAAUUUGGUAUUACCGGCAUAACCCUUUCUGUACGAGCGCCGGAUAUAUCUGGCAUCCAUCUAAUAAACUUAUAUGUGUUACUUAUACAAUUAAUUAAAUUUUAUGUAAAUCUCUUUUAACAUUGAAGAUAUAAACAAAUCGUCAAUUAAAUAGCUUGAAUUAAUUCUGCUUAAAGUAAUCGUCAAGUAAAUGGCUUUGAAUUAAUUCUGCUUAAUUCAAUUUUAAUGAAAUAAUUUUUAAUUAAAUCGUUUGUAAUUAAUUGUCAAUUAAAGACGGAAAUUAAUUUUAAAAGUAAUUAAUUGUUCCCAACCCUGUUUCUAAUUCGCACGGAGCAAUAAACUAAUGUGUUUACGUUACAAACUCUGCUGUAAAUGGUUCCUCAUAAGAAUCGUACCAAUACUUAUUGCUCCUAUACUUUUACCCACUUUACGCAUUUUUUUGUUAAUUUCACAAAUUAUAUCAACUAGUAAAUGUUGUUUGGGCUAUAUCUAUCUCAGAGACUUCCGAGAAUAUGUAAAAUAUCAUUGAUUAUAAAAAAGGAAGUUAAGAAACUACAAUUUCACACAAAAUUUUUUGGAGAAAUUGAUCGGUGUACGAAUACUUUCUACACCCACUGUAUAUCAUCAAUAUGUAUCAUAUCAGUCCUGUCACUAAUUGUAACUCGUAAUCUAUCAUAGGGCAACGUAAUACGCUAAGAAAUCUGGGUAAAUCGAGCUCGGUCGUUGCACUUUAGAAGAGGGGGUAAAUAGCAAUAACAGAAACGCCAGAAACAAUAAAACAUUUCUCUGCGGGAACAACAUCGAUCGAUGCCGCUUAGACGACAAUUUCGAUCCUUUUCAUCCGUCGAUGAUCUAUUAUCGUCGCAGCGGCGUGCGAGACGACGUAGACGAUAGUAAUCGUGUAAUAUCUCUUCCGCUGAUCGUUGUUUUACGUUAAACGAAUCGGAUGAACCUUUUCACUUGGGACAAGUUUUCGUAAAUCGUAGCUAUAUCGUAUAAACAAAGAAGGAAGUGUAAUUGUGUGUAUGUGUAUUAUUCAUUGCGGUUAAAGACGAAGUAAACAAUAGAACGUCCCAUUGGCCGUCCGCGUCGACACAUUGGGUGCAUCCCGAAAGGUCACCGCUCCCUAAAGGUGAGGUCCCAUCUAUCUGACGAGCGUGCUCGAGCAAUAAAUUGUCCGUGCUCGCCGGAUUUUGUUCGAAAACACGUUCCUACUAGCGAGCAAAAGGUCGCUAAAUGCGACGACGAACAGUUGGAACCACUUGAAAGGAUCGAUUUUUACGAGCGUUUGGGUCUCCGUCCACGGACUAGGCUCGCGAACACGGGGGACUAUUCCACGCGAGCCUGGAUCGAACGCUCAAAAAAAUCGAAAAACCCUUUCGAGUGGUUCGAAGCGAGACCCCCAAUGCUUGUUUUCACCGAGGCCGUAAGCGCCUACCUUGGUUCGCUCAAGGGUCUGGGGUCAAACGGGCGAUCGAUCAAUCAGUUUUUGAUACAAUCGAAUUCUUUAUUCAUCGUAUCAACGUGAACGCGAUGCCAUUGGAUUCUUGGUGUUCUCCCGAUGAAAAUGAUAUCUCACGUCGCGUAAAUCGAACUACUUUUAACGAAAUAACUUUUCAAUUAUGCAAUCAGAUUUUCCAUAUAAUUUCGUUAAAAAUAGUCCGAUUUACGCGAUGUGAGAUAUCAUUUUGAUCGCAGAAGCAUCAGAAAUCGAUUGAAAUCACUUCCGCAAAGUUCCGAUAAAAAUUGUCGAGGUUGGUAUUUUCAAUUCUUUAUGACAUCCCCUUGUCGACCACCCUUUGCGAUGAUGGUGCGUGGCCUUUGUUGAGAUUCCGUGCUCGUUUAGGUGUUCGCGGCUCGUUGUGCCAGCUCGCCUGUGUCCAUCAGACCCUCCUGCGCGACGAGUUGACACUUUCAAGUGGACGUUGCUCGUGCUCGCCGCCCGAACUUACAUACACGGGACCUCACCUUAACAAUGUUUGGUUGCGAACAACUUUUAAGUUGAUCCGCUCGUAGAACGGUUCAAUGAACGAGCGAGCUUCGCAACCUUUAACAACCAAACAUGGUGAUCGCACCCUGGUAGCAACCAAUAGCUGAAAAGAUCGGUGUUGUCAUGUUUGGGAGCGAAAAAUGGUUAAGCUCAUCCGCUCACUGAGCCACUUGUGAGCUUAAAAAUGUUUCGCAACCAAAUCUAUUGACCGCUACCAUAUGAUAGCAGCCUAUGUAUUGCCUUGGUAUUUUUCUUAUCCAACGUUGUAUAAUGGGAUUCACGAUGUAGAAGCACGAAACAUAAAACGUGACGAUUAAACAAUUGAUGACGAAGCUUCCAUUAAAUAAUUGCUGCAGAAAUGAAUAGAAAAUCUUUUUUAAUAGAAUAUUUUACUGGUGACGCGACCACGUCUCCAGAAUCUUAAUUUUGGGAAUUAUCCAAUCGGGGUGUAACUGCCAAUACGGCUUUGUCACAGUCGCGUGAUUUUGUUUAUCGUUUUACAUUGUUAUUCGAACGUGUAAUAGACAACGUGUCCCGUAGUUCAGGAGCCAUUUUCGCUUCCAAUAACCGCGUUGUUGAUAAAAUAGUAUAGUAUACGCAUCUCGAUUACGUUAAUAAUAAAUAAUUAAUGUAAAGCUGUCGAGUAGCGAUGGGACUGAAAUGUGCUUAAAUACUAGCGAUACGUUGACGUCAGAAAUUGAUUGUAUCGCGUCGGUUCACCGAAUGGGACUAUUACAAACGAUUUGGAAUUUAUCGAGAUGUACAAUUGUCGUAUCGAUACGUAUCGAUUACAUCAAAAAAGUACUCCUUUACGAUGAUUACCAGAAACAAACCAAAUAAUGCGUUCAAAACCAACUGGCUGAUAAUAAACAUUUCUGUAAAUUCCUAUUCAAAAUUAAAAUAUUUCAUUAUAUCUUCAGUGAGAAUAUCGUCAGUGGUUUGCUGGCUGUUUCCUGGUGAAAAUGAGUUCAAACACGAUCCCAUUUGGAGUACAUUUAGUUAUACAUAUAAAAAAUGAUCACUUGCAUUAACGAGAAUGACGUAUAAUUAAGAAUAAUCCAAAUGUGCUUGCGUUUGGUCUUACUCACUUCGACAAAUAUUAAUUGUCCGCAUUAAUUAUUUCCAUGAAACUGUUUAACUCGAAAUAUUACGUAGAUAAAAAUUGAUUCGAAGAUAUUCUAAUUAUGCCCGACUGUGAUACUAAAACACAUCGUUGUCUCGUCGAGGUCUCGAUGAUAUUUGAUGUUUGAAUCGUAUCGAUACCGCAAGAAUUGUCAACAAGUAUACCUUACUAAUCGACCUUACUAUCGAUACCGUCGAGCCAGUGUCCGGGGAUCGAUAAGUAUCGAUGUUAACGCGUACGUCAUAGGAUCUACCGAUACUAUCGGGCCCAUCGCUACUGUUGAGUCAAAAGAAAACAAAAUGCAGUUAUGUGAUAAGCGAGAUCUCCGUUCUCGAACGUCUUCCCUGAUUUCCUUGUUUUAGUUGGCUGAGGCAGGUUAUCGUCGAAUUAUUCUACACGUACACCAACUCGCUCACGUAUACACAUACACGAGUACACUAUUGGUCUAUAAAUGGGUUGGUAAAAGCGGAAAAUAGAAGAACAAUGUGAAAGAUCGAUUGGCUUCGUUAGGGAGUAAGUAUAAGCGUAAGAUCUUUUAUUGCUAAUAAUUUUUCCUCAGGUCAAGUCUUGAACGGUGCCUAAAACCCUUUGAUUUAAGGAACAAAUGAAAAAAAGAAAAAGAGCAAGUUCUGAAUUACGUGUCGAUGAACUUUUCUUAUAUAGAGAGGGCGGUUCGUUGUAAUCGAAUUUUCGCAGUGUGGUAGUUCGCGUUCGUCCUCGACAGAGAGGGAGGGAGGGAGGGAGGGAGAGAGAAAAAAAAUAAAUUAAAAAAUACACGAGAAGGGAAGGGUAUAUAAAAAUGAAAUAAUCAUUGGAGGAACAAAAGAUUCUGAUACGAUACGACGAUAAUGAUAAGAUAUACCUAUAUACAUACCGUCGAUGCGUAGAAAGUACUGUGUCAUAUACGUAUAUGAUACAUAUAAAUAUAUAUACAUAUAUACACAAAUACACACACACACAAAACACACAAACACACACGCGCGCGCGUGUGUUGUAUGCAAGGGUACGAACGAGUUUGUGUGAGUGCGCGCGAACGAUGCGUGGGUGCUUGUUGUGCGCGCAUGUGCGUAUAACAUUAAAGAAGAGGAUUAAUCGUAGUGCUCCGUUUAAGGAAAGCGUACAGGAUGCAAUGAAAAUUGCGUUGCAACUGGUGAUAACAUUACAUUUUCUUAAAUGAAAAAUAAAUCUAGGUCGUAGAAACAUAAUUGUUUCAUUUAAAGUCUCGUUAAAAAUGGUCGUGAACUCGGCUUGGUUUUGACUUCCGAUAAGAAUGCAAUAAAAAGAAAAAUGGUAACGUCCAAUCAAGUAUGCCACCAUGUCGCCGACUAAAAGUAUCGAAGAUUUGUCUCGAUUAACACGUUGACCAUCGUCGUGUGCAUCGUGUUUCAUACACCGGACACGAGUUAUAAUACUCUGCCUCGAUUGUCGCGAGUGACACGCUGCGAAAUUAUAUUGCUAUGUUUUUAACGCACUACAUUGCGGUAGCUAUUAAGUUUUUUCCCUUUUUCUUUUUAUCGAAAAUUCAAACAUAAAUAUGGGAAUAAAUGGAAAUAAUUAUUAAGCGUAGACAUUAAUUCUGUGCCUCUAUAUAUAAUUAUUUGUAACUCUGGUCCAAAUAGAUAUACUUACUCGUAAUUUUGGUACAUUCAAGUACCUACCUUCUAAAUCCUCAACCUGAUGUUAUUCUUCUACAAUUAUUAUAACUACUAGUUAUAUGUGUAAUCUGUUGGGAGAAGAAUAAUAAGCAAAAUAGUAUGACUAAAGAACUUCGUACAUGUAUAUAAAUUGUAAUGGCCAUCGGGUUGAGAAUUAGGUUAUCAUGUCGAGAACUUAGAAAAUUGGUAUUUUAACGUGACAAAAUGACAAGUAAAUAUUUCUACUUAAACUAG